GCGUAGGUAACCUGCCUGGUAGCGGGGGAGUAACUAUUGGAAACGAUAGCUAAUACCGCAUAAGAGUAGAUGUCGCAUGACAUUUGCUUAAAAGGUGCAAUUGCAUCACUACCAGAUGGACCUGCGUUGUAUUAGCUAGUUGGUGGGGUAACGGCUCACCAAGGCGACGAUACAUAGCCGACCUGAGAGGGUGAUCGGCCACACUGGGACUGAGACACGGCCCAGACUCCUACGGGAGGCAGCAUG
rnacentral:rRNA from 1 species